GCUGGCGUAGCUUAAUUAAAGCAUAACACUGAAGCUGUUAAGAUG
rnacentral:tRNA from 14 species